GGACUACAAGGGUAUCUAAUCCCGUUUGCUCCCCUGGCCUUCGUGCCUCAGUGUCAGGAACUGUCCAGAGACCCGCCUUCGCCACUGGUCUUCCUCACGAUCUCUACGCAUUUCACUGCUACACCGUGAAUUCCAGUCUCCUCUCCAGUCCUCAAGCACGCCAGUAUCAAAUGCAGUUUCGGAGUUAAGCUCCGAAAUUUCACACCUGACUUAGCGCGCCACCUACGCACCCUUUACGCCCAAUGAAUCCGAACAACGCUUGAGACCUCUGUAUUACCGCGGCUGCUGGCAC
rnacentral:rRNA from 1 species